UUUAAGUGACAGAAAAUGGAAAAUCUGAACUGGAGACUCCUCACAGCUACUGGUUAGAUGCCUUUCAAGCUCCACUUCUGCCUAAGGGCUAUGAGUUGUGCAGCUGCAGUGAAGAGAUUUUCCUGUUGUGAAUCUCUGUAACUUGGGGACCUGCUGCUAACUGUACGAUGGACAGUUCUAAUUUGGCUCCUGCAGAGACUCCUAACCAUGUAGGAAUUAUCCUGCUGCAUCCUGAAGACUAGUGCUGAGUACUCGGUACCAAUUCUUUCCUAUGUAGCUGGCUAAAGUUCAAAAACCUGAGAACAAGGUGAACUUAAAUCAUCUCCAGCAUCAGACACUGAAGGGCUGCACUAAGACAUCCUGGACGUCUACAACUUGCAGUCACAGAGACAGACUCAUCAUUAGGAAGAAGUAUCCGUGUAUCUGUCCUGUGUAUCUGGACCUUGGACAAACAUUUGGCUCUGACCCUCGGACAAAUCUCACUUCACAUGGAAUUUGAUAUGAAAAGGAAAUACAAAUGGUGUUUUGUGGAACUCAUUUGCAACUGUACUCUGAAAGACCAGCGACAGAGGACUGUAAGACACCUUCUUCCUCUAGAUAUUUUUGUGAACUGUGGGGCCUAUCAGUUGUAAAAGUGGAAAUUAGAUUGUGUUCCUUAGUAAUGAGAACUUUGUUCAGUGAAAGAAAAAUAUACCUUUGGUGGGAAUAUCCUCUGUCUCUGUGCCAGCCUGAUCUCCAAAGUUCAAUAGAGUGAGGACACCCUGCCAUGGAUCAGCCAGGACUCUGUAGCACGGAGUUAUGGUUGCCAUGAGAAAGGGAGAAUCUUUAAAUUGAAUUACAAUUUGGAAGAAAAAUCUGCAAGAACCUAUAAUCCCACUGAGUUCUAUUUCCUGCCUGUCUUGUCUUCCCUUUCAUCGUUUAUAUACCUCUUUAGAGCAAGACUGACCGUUCUGGAGUGAAUAAUGCUUAUUAAGGUCUGAUGAAGUUAGUUUGUAAAGUGAGAUAAAAGGCAAAGAAUAGCAAAGGCUACGGAAAUGGCUAGAGAGGCCAUUACUCUAUUGAUAUGAUUAAUCUUGCACUUAGGCCUUCUUCAAAGAACAGCAUUUAGCUAAAUUAUCAAGAACCAUUUAGCAAAAAGAAGAUCUACUCAAGUUAAUAUAGCAGGAUGUUUGCCUUGGACAUCCACUUAAAAAAUGUAUUUUGCAUAUAUUGGCUUGACAGGGACUCAGUCUUCACACUUCGCAGUCAUUCUCAAGGCAGAGGCACUUCUCAAGACUAACACUUUUUAUUGUUCCUAUUGCUGCUUUCCCUUGGGUCAGGCUCAAAAUCAAAAGCCUGAAUCAAGAUCAAAAAUAGAUAGUGCAGUUUCCGUGACUAACGAGCAGACAGAAUUAUCUUUAACAUUAUCAUCCUUUAGGUUUAUAAUCAUUAUCAGGCCCUAUACCUUUCAAAUCUCUGUUGACCCAUAUAGGAUACUUACAGGCAGAGACAUAAUCUGAUAAAGUAUAAUUUUAUUUUCUACCAGAACAUAAAAUUUUAUGGGUAGCAAAUAAUAACACACCUAAUGAAAUCUACCAUAAUAAAUGACAAGAUCAUAUGACAAUGUAACUGACCAAAGGCAAGAACCAAUAACUUACCCUUCAGUUAUUGGACAAGGCUAUUUAUCAAUAUGGUCAAGCUGAGUUCUUGCAGUAUAUAUUAUUCAGACCCGCACUGAGAAUUUCUGCUAUUUUAUGUAACACAGAUCUUAAGAGCUUACAGCUAUUUAUUUCAUUAUCAAAAACAGAUCAUUAGUAGCAUAAUUU